rnacentral:lncRNA from 1 species
AUAUUUCUUUGAGAUAUUAAGAAACAUUUUUCUUUAAUAUUAAAAUAGAAAUAUCGGUAUUCAAUUUACAAUAGGACAUAAUAAUGAAACAAUGAAACAGAAACUGGUUAAACAAACUAAAAACAUCGUCAUAAUGGAAUAGUGAAAAAAUAUUAUAUUCAAGAGAAACUAUUUAAGAAGUGAAAUUCAAUCAACUUUUCUUUUUAGCUAUAUCAUUAGUGGUUUCAUUCAUUUACGUCUUUUACAAAUCUUUGCGUGAAACAGUUCCAACUUAUAUUAGCUGGGGGUAGAAGGGAUCCCUGACUACCACUAUGAAUGGGAAAACAUAUUCAUUUUCAUAUCAGAUAUCUCAAAGAUAGCUAAUGACCACGACUAUACUUCGCCACUACAGCCCCCUACAGAUUAUAAAAGACUAAUGACCACAACUGUACUUUGCCAUUGUGGCCCCUAUAAAUAAUUGUGAAUCCACUCUCGUUAAAGGGAAUGGCAAUACAGUUCACAUGGAGUGAUUCACCAACAGAUUUAGUUACAGAUAUAGAUACAGAUAUAGAGACAGAUAUAGAUACAGAUACAGAUACCUCUUAGUAAUAACGGUUAAAUAGAUUUUUCCAUUCUUUUCUAUUUUCUUUUAUGGUCUUAAGCUCAGAGAUUAUCAUAAAACAAAAACCAAUAAAUCAAAUAACGGGUUCUAGCCUAUAAGGCUUUUACACUAGAAUUUCACCAUCGGGUCACCUGUUUGAGCCAAGGCCCAAUCAAGAUAACCCUCUCUGUCAUUACCCAUAGGUAAGACAGAGGGCAAAUCCGAACAUAUGUAU